rnacentral:rRNA from 1 species
AGAGUUUGAUCCUGGCUCAGGACGAACGCUGGCGGCGUGCCUAGUACAUGCAAGUCGAGCGAGCUUGCCUAGAUGAUUUUGGUGCUUGCACUAAAUGAAACUAGAUACAAGCGAGCGGCGGACGGGUGAGUAACACGUGGGUAACCUGCCCAAGAGACUGGGAUAACACCUGGAAACAGAUGCUAAUACCGGAUAACAACACUAGACGCAUGUCUAGAGUUUGAAAGAUGGUUCUGCUAUCACUCUUGGAUGGACCUGCGGUGCAUUAGCUAGUUGGUAAGGUAACGGCUUACCAAGGCAAUGAUGCAUAGCCGAGUUGAGAGACUGAUCGGCCACAUUGGGACUGAGACACGGCCCAAACUCCUACGGGAGGCAGCAGUAGGGAAUCUUCCACAAUGGACGAAAGUCUGAUGGAGCAACGCCGCGUGAGUGAAGAAGGGUUUCGGCUCGUAAAGCUCUGUUGGUAGUGAAGAAAGAUAGAGGUAGUAACUGGCCUUUAUUUGACGGUAAUUACUUAGAAAGUCACGGCUAACUACGUGCCAGCAGCCGCGGUAAUACGUAGGUGGCAAGCGUUGUCCGGAUUUAUUGGGCGUAAAGCGAGUGCAGGCGGUUCAAUAAGUCUGAUGUGAAAGCCUUCGGCUCAACCGGAGAAUUGCAUCAGAAACUGUUGAACUUGAGUGCAGAAGAGGAGAGUGGAACUCCAUGUGUAGCGGCGGAAUGCGUAGAUAUAUGGAAGAACACCAGUGGCGAAGGCGGCUCUCUGGUCUGCAACUGACGCUGAGGCUCGAAAGCAUGGGUAGCGAACAGGAUUAGAUACCCUGGUAGUCCAUGCCGUAAACGAUGAGUGCUAAGUGUUGGGAGGUUUCCGCCUCUCAGUGCUGCAGCU